rnacentral:rRNA from 1 species
GAUCCUGGCUCAGAGUGAACGCUGGCGGCAGGCCUAACACAUGCAAGUCGAGCGGCAGCGCGUCCGACCACCCUCGGGUGGUCGGAUGGCGGCGAGCGGCGGACGGGUGAGGAAUGCAUCGGAAUCUGCCUCGUUGUGGGGGAUAACGUAGGGAAACUUACGCUAAUACCGCAUACGACCUACGGGUGAAAGUGGGGGACCUUCGGGCCUCACGCGAUGAGAUGAGCCGAUGCCGGAUUAGCUAGUUGGCGGGGUAAAGGCCCACCAAGGCGACGAUCCGUAGCUGGUCUGAGAGGAUGAUCAGCCACACUGGAACUGAGACACGGUCCAGACUCCUACGGGAGGCAGCAGUGGGGAAUAUUGGACAAUGGGGGCAACCCUGAUCCAGCCAUGCCGCGUGUGUGAAGAAGGCCUUCGGGUUGUAAAGCACUUUUGUUGGGGAAGAAACCGGCCGGGUUAAUACCCUGGUUGAAUGACGGUACCCAAAGAAUAAGCACCGGCUAACUUCGUG